AUUGAACGCUGGCGGCAGGCUUAACACAUGCAAGUCGAGCGGAGUGAUGGUGCUUGCACUAUCACUUAGCGGCGGACGGGUGAGUAAUGCUUAGGAAUCUGCCUAUUAGUGGGGGACAACAUCUCGAAAGGGAUGCUAAUACCGCAUACGUCCUACGAGAGAAAGCAGGGGAUCACUUGUGACCUUGUGCUAAUAGAUGAGCCUAAGUCGGAUUAGCUAGUUGGUGGGGUAAAGGCCUACCAAGGCGACGAUCUGUAGCGGGUCUGAGAGGAUGAUCCGCCACGCUGGGACUGAGACACGGCCCAGACUCCUACGGGAGGCAGCAGUGGGGAAUAUUGGACAAUGGGGGGAACCCUGAUCCAGCCAUGCCGCGUGUGUGAAGAAGGCCUUAUGGUUGUAAAGCACUUUAAGCGAGGAGGAGGCUCUUUUGGUUAAUACCCAAGAUGAGUGGACGUUACUCGCAGAAUAAGCACCGGCUAACUCUGUGCCAGCAGCCGCAGUAA
rnacentral:rRNA from 1 species